AAUCAACGUUGGCGGCGUGCCUAACNCAUGCAAGUCGAGCGCGAAUGGGGGAGCAAUCCCCUAGUAGAGCGGCGAACGGGUGAGUAACACGUGGGUGAUCUGCCUCCGAGUGGGGAACACNGCGGGAACUGCUGCUAAUACCGCAUGACAUCAUCGGGUCACACCGAUGAUCAAAGCCGGGGACCGCAAGGCCUGGCGCUUGGAGAGGAGCCCC
rnacentral:rRNA from 1 species